rnacentral:rRNA from 1 species
AUGGUGGAUCCAAUUACCCUUAGUGCUGCUGUAGGAUGGGGCGUAACCGCAGUAGGUUGGCUCGCCUCACCCAUCAUUCCUAGACUCCUCAACAAAGCUUUCACCCUCCUUGAAUUUGACGCAACAGAGAAGCUGGAGAUACUUGACAUACAAGUUUUACACCUGCAGCGGGUGAUGGAAGUAGUCGACGAGAGCACUUACAGGGUUCAUUUGGAGCCACCGUUAGACAAGCUUAAAUCUGCUAUCUAUGAAGCCGAAGAUAUCUUGGAUAGCAUCGAGUAUCAGCGCCUCAAGAAGCAGAUCGAAGAUGGCAAGUCAGAUGGCAGUAAGAUGGAUUCGCUGAAGAAGAAAGUUCGGUUUGCCAUGCCAAGCUCCCCCCUAAAAGAUAAGGACAGUGGUUUGCCAAAAUUAGAGUUGGAAAAGAGCCUAAAGAAGAUAGAAAUUGCUAUAAGUGGUGCAUGUAUAGUCUUGGAACAACUGAACUUGCCAGGUCUAAUUAAUGAUAAUGGGAGACCAGCUGUUGCCACCAAUGCACGCAGUGCAGGCAUUAGUCCUCCAGUACGUGUAAUUGGUCGAGAUAAGGAUCGCCACAUGAUCAUAGCAAUGCUACAUGAGAAGGAAAACCAGUGCCAGGCAAACACUGUUAGCGGUACAUGUUAUUCUGUGAUUGGUAUUCAUGGCAUCGCUGGGUCUGGAAAAUCAACACUUGCACGGUGUAUUUAUGAUCAUGAGAAAAAGCAGAAGCAAGAGAACAAGGAAGGCCAUUUCGAGAUUGUCAUCUGGGUUCACGUUUCACAGAAAUUUGAGUUGGAUUCUAUUUUCAGGGACAUGUUUGAGGGUGCUACUGGGAAAGAGUGCCCAAAAUUAAACAGUCUUCACGCCCUAAAAGAAAGACUGGAGGAGGUACUGCUUGGGAAACGGAUUUUGUUGAUACUGGAUGAUGUCUGGCACAACAAUAGGAAUUCAGAAGACCAUGAAGAACUACAAAAGUUAAUUUCUCCGCUGAAUGUUGGGAAGGCAGGAAGCAGAAUCUUGGUGACUAGUCGAACUGAAGAUGCAUUAUUAGCUCUGGGUGCUGUUCAAGAGAGAUGCAUUCCAAUAUCUGACCUGGAUGAUGAAAUGUUCCUUGAAAUGUUCAUGUAUUAUGCACUUGGAGAUGCAAGGGUAGGUGGCCAUGAUCGAAGAAAACUUGAAAUGAUUGGAGAGGACAUUGCAAAAAAGCUUAAGAGGUCACCUCUAGCAGCCAGAACAGUGGGUGCACGUCUCCGUAAAAACCCAAAGGUUGAGAUUUGGAUGAGGGAGAAGGAUCGGGACCUUCUGAAAGAGACAAUGGGAGCUCUGUGGUGGAGCUACCAGUAUCUCGAUGAGCAGGUCAGGCGAUGCUUCGCUUACUGCAGUAUUUUUCCGAGACGACAUCGGUUGUUACGUGAAGAGUUAGUCAAGUUGUGGGUGGCAGAAGGAUUUAUAAAGACUAGUAAGCCUGAAGAGGAAAUGGAAGAUGUUGCUCGGGAGUACUUUAAUGAAUUGCUGUCGGCCUCAUUUCUGCAACCUGGACAUGAUGGUAUGGUUGAUUACUUUACAAUACAUGACCUCCUGUGUGAUUUAGCGGAGGAGGUUUCUGGAAGAGAUUGCUUCAGGAUGGAGAAAGGCUUCACAGGAGAAGUUCCUCAAGAUGUUCGCUAUCUUUUUGUUGGGACUUAUGACAGGGAGAAGCUUACUAAGAAGAUAUCUGGACUGCAGAAUUUACGCACUCUCAUCAUCAAUGACGUAAUACGCGUUGAAUCAAACGCGUGUGAAUUUUUCGCGUGUAUGUUCACUAUGUUGACGGGGCUGCGGAAAUUGCGGGCACUGAAUAUAAAAAUACAGGUCAUUGAACCUCAUUACUGUAUCUCAGUCCCUGAUUCUAUUGGUCAGUUGAAGCAUCUGCGUUGUUUUGUUUUCAUGGUGGGUGCAGUAACCGGCGUAACUUUACCAGGCGCUUUUACCAAGCUUUACCACAUGCAGGUGGCAGAUUUUGGUUACUGCAUGGGAUUAACGUUUUCUAGUGAAGAUAUGAUGAACCUCGUCAACUUGCGCUGUGUGAUCAGCAGGACAAAUCUGGAAUUUCCGAACAUUGGCAGGUUGACAUGGCUCCAAAUGUUAUCGUUGUACGCAAUUAGGAAGGAACCACUGGUAGAAAAAAGCCCUUUAGUCCCGGUUCGCAACAGCCUUUAG